rnacentral:rRNA from 1 species
GAUGAACGCUGGCGGCGUGCUUAACACAUGCAAGUCGAACGGAAAGGCCCAAGCUUGCUUGGGUACUCGAGUGGCGAACGGGUGAGUAACACGUGGGUGAUCUGCCCUGCACUUCGGGAUAAGCCUGGGAAACUGGGUCUAAUACCGGAUAGGACGAUGGUUUGGAUGCCAUUGUGGAAAGUUUUUUCGGUGUGGGAUUAGCUCGCGGCCUAUCAGCUUGUUGGUGGGGUAAUGGCCUACCAAGGCGUCGACGGGUAUCCGGCCCGAGAGAGUGUACGGCCACAUUGGGACUGAGAUACGGCCCAGACUCCGACGGGAGGCAGCAGUGGGGAAUAUUGCACAAUGGGCGCAAGCCUGAUGCAGCGAGGCCGCGUGGGGGAUGACGGCCUUCGGGUUGUAAACACCUUUCGCUAGGGACGAAGCGUUUUUGUGACGGUACCUGGAGAAGAAGCACCGGCUAACUACGUG